UACGUAGGGUGCGAGCGUUGUCCGGAAUUAUUGGGCGUAAAGAGCUCGUAGGCGGUGUGUCCCGUCGGCCGUGAAAACCUGCAGCUUAACUGUGGGCGUGCGGUCGAUACGGGCAUCACUGGAGUUCGGCAGGGGAGACUGGAAUUCCUGGUGUAGCGGUGAAAUGCGCAGAUAUCAGGAGGAACACCGGUGGCGAAGGCGGGUCUCUGGGCCGAUACUGACGCUGAGGAGCGAAAGCGUGGGGAGCAAACAGG
rnacentral:rRNA from 1 species